GGAAGGCCCUUCGGGGUACUCGAGUGGCGAACGGGUGAGUAACACGUGGGUGAUCUGCCCUGCACUUUGGGAUAAGCCUGGGAAACUGGGUCUAAUACCGAAUACACCCUUCUGGCUGCAUGGUCUGGUUGGGGAAAGCUUUUGCGGUGUGGGAUGGGCCCGCGGCCUAUCAGCUUGUUGGUGAGGUUACGGCUCACCAAGGCGACGACGGGUAGCCGGCCUGAGAGGGUGACCGGCCACACUGGGACUGAGAUACGGCCCAGACUCCUACGGGAGGCAGCAGUGGGGAAUAUUGCACAAUGGGCGCAAGCCUGAUGCAGCGACGCCGCGUGAGGGAUGACGGCCUUCGGGUUGUAAACCUCUUUCGCCAGGGACGAAGCGCAAGUGACGGUACCUGGAGAAGAAGGACCGGCCAACUACGUGCCAGCAGCCGCGGUAAUACGUAGGGUCCGAGCGUUGUCCGGGAAUUACUGGGCGUAAAGAGCUCGUAGGUGGUUUGUCGCGUUGUUCGUGAAAACUCACAGCUCAACUGUGGGCGUGCGGGCGAUACGGGCAGACUGGAGUACUGCAGGGGAGACUGGAAUUCCUGGUGUAGCGGUGGAAUGCGCAGAUAUCAGGAGGAACACCGGUGGCGAAGGCGGGUCUCUGGGCAGUAACUGACGCUGAGGAGCGAAAGCGUGGGGAGCGAACAGGAUUAGAUACCCUGGUAGUCCACGCCGUAAACGGUGGGUACUAGGUGUGGGUUUCCUUCCUUGGGAUCCGUGCCGUAGCUAACGCAUUAAGUACCCCGCCUGGGGAGUACGGCCGCAAGGCUAAAACUCAAAGAAAUUGACGGGGGCCCGCACAAGCGGCGGAGCAUGUGGAUUAAUUCGAUGCAACGCGAAGAACCUUACCUGGGUUUGACAUGCACAGGACGUGCCUAGAGAUAGGUAUUCCCUUGUGGCCUGUGUGCAGGUGGUGCAUGGCUGUCGUCAGCUCGUGUCGUGAGAUGUUGGGUUAAGUCCCGCAACGAGCGCAACCCUUAUCUUAUGUUGCCAGCGCGUAAUGGCGGGGACUCGUGAGAGACUGCCGGGGUCAACUCGGAGGAAGGUGGGGAUGACGUCAAGUCAUCAUGCCCCUUAUGUCCAGGGCUUCACACAUGCUACAAUGGCCGGUACAAAGGGCUGCGAUGCCGUGAGGUGGAGCGAAUCCUUUCAAAGCCGGUCUCAGUUCGGAUCGGGGUCUGCAACUCGACCCCGUGAAGUCGGAGUCGCUAGUAAUCGCAGAUCAGCAACGCUGCGGUGAAUACGUUCCCGGGCCUUGUACACACCGCCCGUCACGUCAUGAAAGUCGGUAACACCCGAAGCCGGUGGCCUAACCCCUUGUGGGAGGGAGCCGUCGAAGGUG
rnacentral:rRNA from 1 species